GCAGAGUAUAUGGGGCGCCAGAGAGGGUGAGAGCCCCGUUGCGCUCGGACGCUGUCGCACCACGAGGCGCUGUCAACGAGUCGGGUUGUUUGGGAAUGAAGCCCCAAUCGGGCGGUAAAUUCUGUCCAAGGCUAAAUAUGUGCGAGAGACCGAUAGCAAACAAGUACCG